GAAAGAAAUUAGUAGUGAGAUGCUAAUUAAUUAAGAACAGAUAGAUCAAAAUGGUAUCAAAAUGCGACUCACGUAUAAUAGUAAGAGCAUGGCCUGAGUUAAUUGGAUACAAUGGGGAGGCUGCAGCAAGAAUAAUUGAAAGACAGAUUCUUAACGUGAACGCCGUUGUGUUGCUAGAUGGAACCGAUAUAACCAAGGGGUACUACAAAUGCAAUGACGUCUUGGUCUGGGUCGAUGAGGCCGGAAAGGUUAUCCGGACACCUACUACUGGGUAGUAGUAGUACUACAUGAUCGAUGAAUUCAUGCAUAUACAUGGCAGCGUGCAUUGUUCUAAUGAAGUAUUUACUUGGAUCGUCCACUACUAUUAAAAUUUUAAAUAAAGGAUGAUGUAUUAUGUUUGUGGUU